rnacentral:rRNA from 1 species
AUUGAACGCUGGCGGCAUGCCUUACACAUGCAAGUCGAACGGUAACGGGCCUUCGGGUGCCGACGAGUGGCGCACGGGUGAGUAAUACAUCGGAACGUGCCCGAUCGUGGGGGAUAACGAGGCGAAAGCUUUGCUAAUACCGCAUACGAUCUACGGAUGAAAGCAGGGGACCGCAAGGCCUUGCGCGGACGGAGCGGCCGAUGGCAGAUUAGGUAGUUGGUGGGAUAAAAGCUUACCAAGCCGACGAUCUGUAGCUGGUCUGAGAGGAUGAUCAGCCACACUGGGACUGAGACACGGCCCAGACUCCUACGGGAGGCAGCAGUGGGGAAUUUUGGACUAUGGGCGCAAGCCUGAUCCAGCCAUGCCGCGUGCAGGAUGAAGGCCUUCGGGUUGUAAACUGCUUUUGUACGGAACGAAAAGCCUUCUUUUAAUACAGGAGGGUCAUGACGGUACCGUAAGAAUAAGCACCGGCUAACUACGUG